GGGAAUAUUGGACAAUGGGCGAAAGCCUGAUCCAGCAAUGCCGCGUGUGUGAAGAAGGUCUUCGGAUUGUAAAGCACUUUCGGCGGGGACGAUGAUGACGGUACCCGCAGAAGAAGCCCCGGCUAACUUCGUGCCUGCAGCCGCGGUAAUACGAAGGGGGCUAGCGUUGCUCGGAAUGACUGGGCGUAAAGGGCGCGUAGGCGGCUUGCACAGUCAGAUGUGAAAUUCCUGGGCUUAACCUGGGGGCUGCAUUUGAUACGUGUGGGUUAGAGUGUGAAAGAGGGUCGUGGAAUUCCCAGUGUAGAGGUGAAAUUCGUAGAUAUUGGGAAGAACACCGGUGGCGAAGGCGGCGACCUGGUUCAUGACUGACGCUGAGGCGCGAAAGCGUGGGGAGCAAAC
rnacentral:rRNA from 1 species